UACGAUGGGGGCUAGCGUUGCUCGGAAUCACUGGGCGUAAAGCGCACGUAGGCGGCUUUCUAAGUCAGGGGUGAAAUCCUGGAGCUCAACUCCAGAACUGCCUUUGAUACUGGGGAGCUCGAGUCCGGAAGAGGUGAGUGGAACUCCGAGUGUAGAGGUGAAAUUCGUAGAUAUUCGGAAGAACACCAGUGGCGAAGGCGGCUCACUGGUCCGGUACUGACGCUGAGGUGCGAAAGCGUGGGGAGCAAACAGG
rnacentral:rRNA from 1 species